rnacentral:rRNA from 1 species
CAACCCAACAAACUAGGGUAGGGACGCCCUGGUACGGUUUAACUCGGACUACAACGCCCGGGAAACUCACCAGAUAAGACAGCUGAAUGAUAGUCGGGCUGAAGACUCUACUUGACUAGCUGAGAGGAGGUGCAUGGCCGUCGUCAGUUCGUACUGUGAAGCAUCCUGUUAAGUCAGGCAACGAGCGAGACCCACGCCAACAGUUGCCAGCUCGUCCUCCGGGAUGGUGGGGACACUGUUGGGACCGCCUCUGCUAAAGAGGAGGAAGGAAUGGGCAACGGUAGGUCAGCAUGCCCCGAAUUAUCUGGGCUACACGCGGGCUACAAUGGGUGGGACAAUGGGUAUCGACACCGAAAGGUGAAGGCAAUCUCCUAAACCCAUCCGUAGUUCGGAUUGUGGGCUGCAACUCGCCCACAUGAAGCUGGAAUCUGUAGUAAUCGUGUCUCAAAAUGGCACGGUGAAUAUGUCCCUGCUCCUU